AUGCUAGAUGAACUUAGUGGUUCCACCAUUUCCUCAAAAAUUGACCUCAAAAGUGGCUACUAUCAAAUUUGCAUGCAAGAGGGUGAUGAAUGGAAGACAACUUUUAGAACCAAGUUUGGUCUAUAUGAAUGGUUAGUCAUGCCUAUGGACUUAUCUCAGGCGCCUAGCACAUUUAUGCGUGUCAUGCAUUAUGUCCUUCACAAAUUUAUUGGCAUUUGUGUUGUGGUAUACUUUGAUGAUAUCCUUGUGUUUAGUCAAUCUCUUGAUGAUCAUAUCAAACAUCUUAGAGAUGUCUUGCAAGUUCUUAGAAACGAGCGACUUUCUGCUAACAUGGAAAAGUGCACCUUUGGUGUUAAUAAACUUGUUUUCUUGGGCUUUGUUGCUUAUAAUUAG
rnacentral:rRNA from 1 species